rnacentral:ncRNA from 1 species
UACUUUUGUAGCGAAAAUGGUUUAACAAAAUGGGAAUCCGGUGAAAAACCGGAGCUGUACCCGCAGCUGUGAGCCUUUAUGUAAGCGACAACUGAAGUCACUGCUCCCGGAAAUAGGGGAGCGGGAAGGCCGUCGCCAAUCGGGCAAGCCAGAAAACCUGCCGUUUUCAAUGAAAUGCU